UACGUAGGGUGCGAGCGUUAAUCGGAAUUACUGGGCGUAAAGCGUGCGCAGGCGGUUUUGUAAGACAGAUGUGAAAUCCCCGGGCUUAACCUGGGAACUGCAUUUGUGACUGCGAGGCUAGAGUGUGUCAGAGGGGGGUGGAAUUCCACGUGUAGCAGUGAAAUGCGUAGAUAUGUGGAGGAACACCGAUGGCGAAGGCAGCCCCCUGGGAUAACACUGACGCUCAUGCACGAAAGCGUGGGGAGCAAACAGG
rnacentral:rRNA from 1 species